CAACACAACAGGUUCAUUAUAAAAACAAACAAAAAAAAAGGCUGCAACAAAUGAUUGUGUCAUUUUUCUCUUUUACCUAUGUUUAUUGGAUCCUCUUUUGGUAUCUAAAUGGGUGGGUCAUGCAAAUAGAAAAGAAGCCAAGUCCAUAAUACGAUUUAGUUUGGUUGUAAUGGAUAAUCUCCGGUUCUGUUUGCUCCGGGAGUCGACUACAUUUGGAGGUUAUGGUAGACGGUUACCAUCUACCACCAACUGAAAGCUGUUAGCUAACUGAAGGCUAGUUUUCAGUUAGCUAACAGGUUUCAGUUAGCCAAUUGAAACCUUUUAUAAUUGUUAUAACAGCUAACAGUUUUCAGUUAGCUAACUGAAAGCUAUUUCAUUUGAAUGGUUACUAGAAAAUCUCUGCUGUUUUAGUUAAUGGUUUACAUUGUAUAAAAAAACAUUUCAAAGUCAACCAGCCUGGUUUCUAUGAGCCAAACCAGCUAGCUAGUUAUAGUUCUUCAAGAGGUUGACUUGUUGUUUUAAGGUGGAAUAUUUUCCCAAAACACCUACAGUAGUCAACAGGUAGGCUGAUUUCCCAAGGACUGACCUACAUUCA